rnacentral:rRNA from 1 species
AUUGAACGCUGGCGGCAUGCUUUACACAUGCAAGUCGAACGGUAACAGGCCGCAAGGUGCUGACGAGUGGCGAACGGGUGAGUAAUGCAUCGGAACGUGCCCAGUCGUGGGGGAUAACUACUCGAAAGAGUAGCUAAUACCGCAUACGAUCUAUGGAUGAAAGCGGGGGACCGUAAGGCCUCGCGCGAUUGGAGCGGCCGAUGUCAGAUUAGGUAGUUGGUGGGGUAAAGGCUCACCAAGCCAACGAUCUGUAGCUGGUCUGAGAGGACGACCAGCCACACUGGGACUGAGACACGGCCCAGACUCCUACGGGAGGCAGCAGUGGGGAAUUUUGGACAAUGGGCGCAAGCCUGAUCCAGCAAUGCCGCGUGCAGGAAGAAGGCCUUCGGGUUGUAAACUGCUCUUGUACGGAACGAAACGGCUCUGGUUAAUACCCGGGGCUAAUGACGGUACCGUAAGAAUAAGCACCGGCUAACUACGUG